rnacentral:rRNA from 1 species
AUUGAACGCUGGCGGCCGGCCUAACACAUGCAAGUCGAACGAGUGGCGGACGGGUGAGUAAUGUCUGGGCAACUGCCCGAUGGAGGGGGAUAACUACUGGAAACGGUAGCUAAUACCGCAUACCAUCGGAUGUGCCCAGAUGGGAUUAGCUAGGAGGUGGGGUAAAGGCUCACCUAGGCGACGAUCCCUAGCUGGUCUGAGAGGAGGACCAGCCACACUGGAACUGAGACACGGCCCAGACUCCUACGGGAGGCAGCAGUGGGGAAUAUUGCACAAUGGGCGCAAGCCUGACGCAGCAAUGCCGCGUGUAUGAAGAAGGCUUUCGGGUUGUAAAGUACUUUCAUCGGGGAGGCGGUACCCGCAGAAGAAGCAACGGCUAACUCCGUGCCAGCAGCCGCGGUAAUUC